rnacentral:rRNA from 1 species
UUAGAGUUUCAUCCUGGCUCAGGAUGAACGCUGGCGGCGUGCUUAACACAUGCAAGUCGAACGAACCUUCGGGUUAGUGGCGUACGGGUGAGUAACGCGUGAGAAUCUGCCCUCAGGAGGGGGAUAACGGCUGGAAACGGCCGCUAAUACCCCAUAUGCCGAGAGGUGAAAUGAAUUUCGCUUGAGGAUGAGCUCGCGUCUGAUUAGCUAGUUGGUGGGGUAAAGGCCUACCAAGGCGACGAUCAGUAGCUGGUCUGAGAGGAUGAUCAGCCACACUGGGACUGAGACACGGCCCAGGCUCCUACGGGAGGCAGCAGUGGGGAAUUUUCCGCAAUGGGCGAAAGCCUGACGGAGCAACGCCGCGUGAGGGAUAAAGGCCUCUGGGUCGUAAACCUCUUUUCUCAAGGAAGAAGAUCUGACGGUACUUGAGGAAUAAGCCACGGCUAAUUCCGUGCCAGCAGCCGCGGUAAUACGGGAGUGGCAAGCGUUAUCCGGAAUUAUUGGGCGUAAAGCGUCCGCAGGCGGCCCUGUAAGUCUGUCGUUAAAGCGUGGAGCUUAACUCCAUUUCAGCGAUGGAAACUACAAGGCUUGAGUGUGGUAGGGGCAGAGGGAAUUCCCGGUGUAGCGGUGAAAUGCGUAGAUAUCGGGAAGAACACCAGUGGCGAAGGCGCUCUGCUGGGCCAUAACUGACGCUCAUGGACGAAAGCCAGGGGAGCGAAAGGGAUUAGAUACCCCUGUAGUCCUGGCCGUAAACGAUGAACACUAGGUGUCGGGGGAAUCGACCCCCUCGGUGUCGUAGCCAACGCGUUAAGUGUUCCGCCUGGGGAGUACGCACGCAAGUGUGAAACUCAAAGGAAUUGACGGGGGCCCGCACAAGCGGUGGAGUAUGUGGUUUAAUUCGAUGCAACGCGAAGAACCUUACCAGGGUUUGACAUCCUGCGAAUCCCUUGGAAACGAGGGAGUGCCUUCGGGAGCGCAGUGACAGGUGGUGCAUGGCUGUCGUCAGCUCGUGUCGUGAGAUGUUGGGUUAAGUCCCGCAACGAGCGCAACCCACGUCGUUAGUUGCCAGCAUUCAGUUGGGCACUCUAGCGAGACCGCCGGUGAUAAACCGGAGGAAGGUGUGGAUGACGUCAAGUCAUCAUGCCCCUUACAUCCUGGGCUACACACGUACUACAAUGCUACGGACAAAGGGCAGCAAACUCGCGAGAGCUAGCAAAUCCCAUAAACCGCGGCUCAGUUCAGAUCGUAGGCUGCAACUCGCCUACGUGAAGGAGGAAUCGCUAGUAAUCGCAGGUCAGCAUACUGCGGUGAAUAAAAAGCCGGGCCUUGCACUCACCGCCCGUCA